AGCGAACGCUGGCGGCAGGCCUAACACAUGCAAGUCGAACGAAGUCUUCGGACUUAGUGGCGGACGGGUGAGUAACACGUGGGAACGUGCCUUUAGGUUCGGAAUAACUCAGGGAAACUUGUGCUAAUACCGAAUGUGCCCUUCGGGGGAAAGAUUUAUCGCCUUUAGAGCGGCCCGCGUCUGAUUAGCUAGUUGGUGAGGUAAAGGCUCACCAAGGCGACGAUCAGUAGCUGGUCUGAGAGGAUGAUCAGCCACAUUGGGACUGAGACACGGCCCAAACUCCUACGGGAGGCGGCAGUGGGGAGUCUUGCGCAAUGGGCGAAAGCCUGACGAAGCCAUGCCGCGUGAAUGAUGAAGGUCUUAGGAUUGUAAAAUUCUUUCACCGGGGACGAUAAUGACGGUACCCGGAGAAGAAGCCCCGGCUAACUUCGUGCCAGCCGCCGCUGUAA
rnacentral:rRNA from 1 species